UCAUUGUUUCCCUCUCCCUAAUCCCUCUUCCAGGAAGACGUGGCAGUAGUUCUAACUCUCAAGCACCCAUUCCCCCCCCCCUCAGUUCUGCCUUCUGGUUCCCAAAGCAGGGUGGGGGGAAGUGGCACAGAUCAGCCUUUUCAAGGAGCCAGCAUGAGGCAGGGAAAGGCUAGCUUCUGCUCAUGUUUUAUCAUGGGCACUCUCCUAGGCUCCUUCUUGCCAAGACAGGCUGGACUCGCAUGGCAGUGGUGGCAUUUUAGAUGGAGAGAAUCAGAAAGGUUCCCCAGAAGGUGGACAGUGGAAAAGGGACAGACCCCACAAGGAGAGACCAAUCCAAUGAGAUGCGGGAGCCACCAAUAAUAAACUGAAGGCCCCUUGAAUUUAUAUAUAUAUAUAUAAAAAUAUAAAUAUAUAUAUAAAUAUCUAUUCCCCAGUCCUGGCCCGCUCUGUCCUUGCUGUAACUGUUUCUAUCUCUGUGUUUAUAAAAAUGUGUUAUCCUGGAAAAAAAAAAUUCAAUCUUUAUUCUUCCCUCUUUCUCUCUUUGUCUCCAGCUUCCCCCUCCCCCCUGACCAUCCCCUUCCCCUUCUUGUUUUGGUUUUGGUUUUCGUUUUGGUCCACGUGAUUUAUGGUUUUUCAUGUCAUUUGUUCAUUUAUCUGGCUUUCAUUUGGAUUGCUAGAUCAUGGAGGCUGGUUCAGAAGAAAGAAACAAAGGCAAAGAAAAAUUGUUCGAUGUUGGGAUUUAAAACAAAACUCCAGGAUUCCAAACUUCUACACAGAAAAAGAAACACAAGCCCUGAGAAUUUCUCUUCUCCAAUUUCACAGCCCUAUACAGUUUUUGAUUAUUCAUCACUGGUCCUUUCCUCACACCUGAUGAAGAAUGCUGUGCAUUCAAAAGCUUGUUGAACUUUAUCCUAUGCAGUUGGUCCAAUAAAAGAUAUCACUUACCAAAAUCCUUGCA
rnacentral:lncRNA from 1 species